UGGGGAAUCCUGCACAAUGGGGGCAACCCUGAUGCAGCGACGCCGCGUGAGCGAUGAAGGUUUUCGAAUCGUAAAGCUCUGUCCUAUGGGAAGAUAAUGACGGUACCAUAGGAGGAAGCCCCGGCUAACUACGUGCCAGCAGCCGCGGUAAUACGUAGGGGGCGAGCGUUGUCCGGAAUUACUGGGCGUAAAGGGUUCGCAGGCGGCAUGGCAAGUCCGAUGUAAAAGGCGAAGGCUUAACCUUCGUAAGCAUCGGAAACUGUCAAGCUUGAGUGAAGGAGAGGCAAGUGGAAUUCCUAGUGUAGCGGUGGAAUGCGUAGAUAUUAGGAGGAAUACCGGUGGCGAAGGCGACUUGCUGGACUUCAACUGACGCUGAGGAACGAAAGCGUGGGUAGCAAACAGG
rnacentral:rRNA from 1 species